rnacentral:misc_RNA from 1 species
CGACGCUCGCGGUGAUGGCGGACGGUCAUAGCGUCACCACCAUCGAAGGUCUUGCCGCCGACGGCGCGCCGCUGCAUCCCAUGCAGGAGGCGUUUCGUGAACAUCAUGGCCUGCAGUGCGGCUUUUGCACCCCGGGCAUGAUCAUGACCGCGGUCGAUCUGGUCCACCGCAAGGGUCACGACCUCGACGAUCAGACCAUCCGCGAGGAACUCGAGGGCAACCUCUGCCGCUGCACG